ACUGCUCUAAAUAGAUGUACAGAUUUUAAAAAUUGCUUGACAGAUUCAUGCAUGUGCAUAUUCUGACAAAAUUCUGUGGUAAUGAAAACUGUGUACCAGUAGGGGGCUAUCUUUCAAAAUUUUAGUUCAGUUAAGGUUUUGAAGUUAGCAUUAGCUAAAUUUCAAAUGUUUGUCAGUAAACUCUGUCUCAUGAAUUUAUACAAGGAAUUUAAUAUUCUAACAGAUUUGGCUCCUGGAUGUUGAGACUUAAUCAGUAACUGAAAACUCUAAACUUUGUUAAUCUUCCUCCACUUUACCAUUUUAAAGCUAGUUAGCUUUUUCUUUGAUACUGUAUGUAGUAGAUGCUGAUAAUUUGCUAUAUACCUGAUGCGUAUUUGUUUAAUAUUUAGAAGCACACAAAAAAGAGGAGAAUCGUUCGGAAUCAGCAGAAUAGGCAGCAAAAUUAAAGGUGUAUUCAAGAGCACCACCAUGGAGGGGGCAGUGCUGCCUAGUUACGGCGUGGCUGAAGGCGAAGAUGACUUUAUUGAAGAAGGAAUUGUGGUACUGGAGGAUGACUCUCCUGUAGAAGCCGUGAGCACACCUAACACUCCUCGGAACCUCGCCGCGUGGAAAAUUAGCAUUCCGUAUGUAGACUUUUUUGAGGAUCCCUCCUCUGAAAGGAAGGAGAAGAAGGAGAGAAUUCCUGUGUUUUGUAUUGAUGUUGAAAGAAACGAUAGUUGGACAUGAGCCUGAACAUUGGUCUGUCUAUAGAAGAUAUCU
rnacentral:lncRNA from 1 species